GGCACGGUGGCGCAGUGGUUAGCACUACUGCCUCACAGCAAUAACAUUGUGGGUUCGAAUCUGGCCUGGGGCC